rnacentral:rRNA from 1 species
UACGUAGGGGGCAAGCGUUGUCCGGAAUCAUUGGGCGUAAAGAGCGUGUAGGCGGUCCGUUAAGUCGGCUGUGAAAGUCCAGGGCUCAACCCUGGGAUGCCGGCCGAUACUGGCGGACUAGAGUCCGGAAGAGGCGAGUGGAAUUCCCGGUGUAGCGGUGAAAUGCGCAGAUAUCGGGGGGAACACCAAUGGCGAAGGCAGCUCGCUGGGACGUUACUGACGCUGAGACGCGAAAGCGUGGGGAGCAAACAGG